GACAAGUUUGAUUGACUUCCGCCAUUGUUCCCAUCUGUUAAUAUAUCAACACUGCAAUUUUCAUUCGGUCUGAGCUUUAAAAACAAACCAGAAAAUCGGUCAUGGCUUUGUGUUGACGAUUGUUGUGAAUAAUGUAAUCUGUCUAAACUCAACAACAAUGAAAUCGUGCUACAUCUACUGAUUUGGUGCUGUGAUACGUAUUGUGCGGUCGUAGGUAUAUGCACUACAAAUUGAUUCAAUGAGUUAGUGUGAUACAACAGUCUCUUAUCGUUUUGGUUCUUUUUAUUUUGCAAAAGUUAAAUGAUCUGUGUUAAACGAGCUUGUUUAUUUUCUCGCCAUAAACAUAAAACUAUUCCGAUAGUAAAUCUGUCUAGCAGAGUGAUGAGCGAAAAACCAGACACUAUAUUGAGUUCUUCCGACAACUGGUUCAAUAAAUAUGCUGCUGUCGAAGAUGCUCCUGAGGGCGUGUUCAAAGGAGUUUCGGACCGGUUCAGUGGUAUAACGGUUGACUCGAAUCUAGAGACAUGUCGGCCAGAAGAAUUCUCAUCUGUUCUACAAAGAUCUCUUUCGCACUGGGUCUCAAGCAAUAGACGAGGUGUUUGGUUCAAAAUCAACUUAAACUGUAGUCACUGGGUGCCGGAAUUAGCGAAGAAUCAGUUUAAAUUCCAUCAUGCCAAGGAUAACUUCGUCAUGAUGUAUCGAUGGUUGCCGAAGGAUGAAGAAAUGAAUAUACCGCCGUACGCACACACUAUGGUUGGCGUGGGUGCUCUAGUCAUCAAUGAGCAGAAACAAAUCUUAGUUGUCAGUGAAAGACAUGCGUUGAUAAAAGAAUCCUGGAAACUUCCGGGCGGAUACGUUGAACCAGCCAUCCCAAACCGUAGAUUAAAAUCCUCCAAACUUCUUUACUCGACACGAAACGUCAGGAAAAUGAGACAAUUCCCACCAAUUCAUAUCGCUUUAAUUUUCACAACAAUUUUGACAAUUAUAAAAGGCCAAGAAUUAAAACUAACCAACCUUAACAAAAAACCGUUAUUGGUUUUAGAGAAAGGCCAUUGUAAAAUUCGGACAGGAGUUAUUAACGUUAUACACCCCAUAAACUUGACAGAUAUAGAGACUACAAUAGACAGCUUGAUAAAUAUAGCGUACAGCAAAACUAAUUCCCAGUUAUCUACCAUAAUUCAAUACAAAGUUAAGGAACUCUACAAUAAUUUCUUGCAAAUUAAGCCACAUCGCCAAAAAAGAUGGGACACUGUAGGAACAGUAUGGAAUUCUGUCAAAGAUGAAAACUUCGUAGACGCAGCUAUCCGCGAGGUUCUCGAGGAAACAAAUGUUAAAACAAAAUUCGAAUCGUUAAUUUCGAUUCGUCAUGCACAUAAUGCUGGUUUUGGCUGUUCCGAUUUGUACAUCGUGAUGGCCCUAACUCCCGAAAGUAUGGCAAUAAAGAAAUGUGAUCGUGAAAUAGCCAAAUGUGAGUGGAUGCAUGUCGACGAUUAUUUGAACCACCCGAAAAUACAUGAAACCAAUCGAAACUUUGUGCGUACUUACCUAAAGUAUAAAGAGAAGGGAUUGAGGUUUACUUGCAAAGAUGAAAUUCACCAAAUAUUAAAAAAACAGUACAAUAUUUAUUCAUUAGAGUAUGAUUAUGAUGAGUCCUCUAAACUAUGAUAUUAAAAGUGAAGGAAGAUACGUUUUGUAGAAAUCUAGAUUGUAUAGGAAAAAUUCAGCCUUUUGUUACAAAUUAUCCCAAUAGUGGUUAUAUAAUAAAAAUUGGAAAAUGGGCACCAAUUUUAUAUUAAAUUUAGAAGCAUAUGUAACUUCUUUAAACAACGCAACUAGGGUGGGAUCAUAUUGGUUAAUAAGUGAUUGUUACCAAGUGGUGUUAAUGAAGUGAUCACUGAAAACUUUGGAAUCAAAUAAGGUGAUCAAUUUCGUGUAUGCAACAAGCUACUUCAUGCUUUCGGUAGAGAGUAAAUUUAGGGGGUAGUGAGCCAAAUCGGACCGCUGGCCAAUUCGGGUCCUCAGCUAUGCUAAUAAUAUG